UACGGAGGGUGCAAGCGUUAUCCGGAUUUACUGGGUUUAAAGGGUGCGUAGGUGGAUUUGUAAGUCAGUGGUGAAAUCUCCGAGCUUAACUCGGAAACUGCCAUUGAUACUAUAAGUCUUGAAUUAUCUGGAGGUAAGCGGAAUAUGUCAUGUAGCGGUGAAAUGCGUAGAUAUGACAUAGAACACCGAUUGCGAAGGCAGCUUACUACGGAUACAUUGACACUGAGGCACGAAAGCGUGGGGAUCAAACAGG
rnacentral:rRNA from 1 species